rnacentral:lncRNA from 1 species
CAGCAAUUCUUAAGAAGAGUACAGCCAAAAAAGCUUUCUCACUCCUUUAUAGUUUCUUCCAAUAACUGGCUCACCAAGUCAGAGGCUGAGCAGGCAGACAGCCGCAGACCUAAGGGAAGCUAUGACCAUCUCAUCUGCAAGAAUGAGAGUGGCCAGGUGCGGUGGCUCACGCUUGUAAUCCCAGCACUUUGGGAGGCCAAGGCAGGCGGAUCACGAGGUCAGGAGAUCAAGACAACCCUGGCCAACACGGUGAAACCCGGUCUCUGCUAA